AUCCCCAUCUACUAAGUGAAAAAGGCACCCACCAGGUCUCAACUGUUUCUCAUAAGAUGAACACAGAGGGAUUAUCUAAAAUAUCAGUGACCAACCUUGGCACACUAUUAUCUUUUCCUUUUUUUUAAUUUAAUUUAAGUUCCGGGAUAUAUGUGCAGGACGUGUAGGUUUGUUACAUAGGUAAACGUGUGCCAUGGUGGUUUGCCACACCUAUCAACUGGUCACUUAGGUAUUUAUUUUAUUUUAUUUUUGAGACAAAGUCUCACCCUGUCACCCAGGCUGGAGUGCAAUGGCACGAUCUCAGCUCACUGCAACCUCCACCACCUGGGUUCAAG
rnacentral:lncRNA from 10 species